UCUUCAGAAAGAACAUCUUCUGCUAUCUCUCUGUCCUGACUCUCUGGAUCCAUAACGAAGACUCCAAAAGGGUCAUCAUUGAAAGGAAUCAUCACAGUUACAGCAAGGCUUGUUUCAGACAACUGCCCACCAGGACCAGCAGAUCCACCUACAUAAUGGAAGUCAAGACAGGUGGAGAUCAUGGUACGACUGCAGAAGUAAGAAGACGUUAAGAAGAUCAUGGCAUGUCUGUAGAGCCUCCAUGCACCACUAAGCAGGAAAUCUUCUGUACAUGCAUAUGGAUUUCACUUACAGAAAUGUCAACAUAUUUUCAGUUGUAUCUCGGCACAGAAGACCAUAAAUAGUACUGAGGUGGAAGGAGUCCAGCAGAUUUGGAACUCUACUCAGUAGCAGGCCGGUAGCAGUUGUAAUUUAAGUGAUACAAAGUGGUAACUAUUUGCAUUUUAGAGAAAUUUCUAGAAAAAAGCAAACAAACCAGCCAAUCUCCAUUAUGGUAGAUAUGCAUAACCUUUUAUACCUUCAUUUUGUCAGCUCUACAGAAAGCUCUACAUCUCUGAAAUCACUAAAAGGAAUCAUUUUAAAGGCCUGAUUCCAAAACUGUGUUCAUAUAUCUAAAUUAAAAAAAAAUUAAAAACCUAAAAUUUCACAAGAAAAGUAUAGGAUAAUACAGGCAUCAAGGCAAAGCUCUUUGCAGGAUUGUUUUCUUUUUGAUUGAUUAAAUAUAAUUAUUUUCUGCCAGAUAUGAAGGGAAUGGUUAUAUGGAAGACAGUACCUGAAAUAUUCACCAAUUUUAAAAUGUAAAAUUCAUUGAAUUCAGGAAUUUUAUCUGAAACAGCAUGAAGCACUAUCUGCUUUGAUCCUUCACCAUCCAUGAAGUACACAGUCCCAUAUGUUUCAUAGAACUCUUCUCCUGGCUUCAGUGCAGAGUCAUUAAGAAACAGCUGCCAGGUUAAUGAGACAUUCCCAAAGUGUCCUCUAUGUCUCAAAAUC